rnacentral:lncRNA from 1 species
AUGUCAAAAGACAUUUGGAGAACAGAAGAGCAUUUCGAAGGAUUGUAUGUGCAAGCCCAAGACAUUGCCUCAUCAUUAGACCUGGUGCCCAUCAAGAUGCCCCAUAUCCGCUGCCCUCGAAAACGAUUAUCUGGACCAGCUGAGCCACAUAUUCACCCCUUUGCAGAGUCAUUCUACAGAAGCCACUAUUUCAACAUGCUUGACACAGCUGCUCGGCAGCUUACACAGCGCUUUGAUGAGCCGGGUAUUCAUACACUCGGAAGUUUGGAGAAGGUCCAUAUCAGCGGCGAGAUGGAUGAUAUCAUCAAGAGCUACCCAGAGUUGGACCAAGUAGCUCUAAAGGUGCAGUUGUCGAUGCUGAAGUCCACCUAUCAGUACAGCAACUGUGGGGAUGUGGUGGACCUGCUGAAGACCAUGGUGCCUGAGGUCAGGAGUCUUUUUAAACAAGUAGAGACACUCCUGAGACUUUUGCUUGUAGUUCCUGCUUCUUCAUCACAGGCUGAACGAAGCUUCAGUGCUUUGAGAAGGCUAAAAACCUGGCUGUGAACCAAUAUGACGCAAAAGAGGUUGAACCAUGUAGCUGUGUGCCAUGUGCACAGAGAUAGGCUGGACAGAAUUGAUAGAAAAUAAGUGUGCAAAAGCUUAAUAACCAUGAGUGACAUAUGCAAGAAUGUGUUUGGAUCAUUUUAAUAAAAGUGUUAAGGGUGGCAUGUUACAAAGUAUGCACUGGUUCAUUUCAUAUGAAUAUUUAAAUUCAGCUUUGUGACUUAAUAGCCUGUAUUUAGCGGCUUUACUGAUAUAGGUUUCAUAAACCUUCUUGAAGUUUAUUACUUUGUGUUUGAUUUAUAAAGAUGUCUCAAUAAUUUAAUUGUGAUGCAAAAAUGUUCUUCCUAUUUUUUUUUUUAAUACAGCAUUUUGAAAAUAGGACCUACUGUAUGAGCCUACAUUGGCCUACAAACUGUAUUUAUUACAAUAUGUGGCCAGUGGCUUGAGCACUUCAGCGAGUUUAUUUUUAAACUGACAAGUUACUUUUGUUUAAAUUUGUUCAAAAUAAAGAGCAUUUUCCCUCAUUAGUACAUAACUGUUUUACUAUCAUUGCUCAAGACUUGAUAUUAGAAUAUUGUUAUCCUGUAACAGUAAUUUAAUCAAAAUGUUUAUAGCCACUAUAUGUUUAUAGAAGUAUAUAAGAGAGAGAUCACUGGCCGCUUUGUUGUCAAUUCAGGCUUGUAAUUGAUGCCGAUGCUGUAAUCAUUACAGGGUGAGUAUACGUUGGUUAGACGAUCAGAUGUAAUAAAAUUCUUUGUUGUGUUAUACAAUUACAAACAUUGGGACUCUGACUUUUAUUUUAUUUUUAUUUAAAAAAUUGUGUGCAUGCACCAACACAAAAUGUCCCACAGCUGUCCCCCAUAAUGUGUGAUUGACAAUUUCGCCCUUGAUGGGACAAUAUCUUGGUGCCACUUGCUAGCUCGAAGAAGAUGUCUUCGUUAACAUUUGCAGUGUUAACCCAAACUAAAAUUGAAAAUCCAUCAAGCAUUUAGAUUAAAUUAGUCCAGGUAUUUAAGAAAUCUACAAAAAAACCUACAGCGCCAAACCUACAGGACAAACGAUUACGGAUGCGUGCCCGUUGCCUAGCGUGAAGCGCAUCUCAUUCACCUAUUAGUGGAGCUGAAAAUCGCGUAAGUUAUCGCGCAUGUCAAUAUCACAAUUUCGAUCAUAAUUAUGAAACGGAAGUAAACAACGAUGGAAUUGACCAAACGUUACUAAAGGUUACACAAGUGACCACAGUUUGAAAUGGCGGGAAGUGGGUCAGGAUAUGACGAAACGGAAGUAUGACUUUUAGCCAGCCGAGUUUUAGCCAAGCGUGCCGCACAAGCCCUGAAAAGUGAAGCCAAAACGUCUCGAUCGCCCCCUGGUGAGUGGUCCCAGUAUAGGUCAUAAACCCCGCCCUCCCCAUGUUAUUCAAUGGGACGCGAGACCAACUAAACAAUUAAAUUACCCUUCAAUUAUCCUUUUUCCGAAGCUGGUUUCUGUCAUUUACUGUAGUUUGUAUCACGCUAAUGUAAAUUCAAGAGUUUGUUUUUAAAAUAAGUUGGUUUUUAGUUAGUUAUUUAAUGCUCUAAAAACGGUGGUGUGACGUCGUGAUUCACAGCUUUGAUUGAAAGCUAUCUGAGCCAAGGAGCCACUGAAGCGCCAUCCUCCUUCGGAGGACUGAGGAGAUUGGAGCUUUACAUUUAAUCUCUAAAUUUCUAUAAUUGAUAUAAUUUCACACGGACAUAAUGGGUUGUUAUGCAGUACAUUGUGCUAACCGAUCUGGCAUUUCCAAUCGAUCUUUGAAUUUUUUUCGGUAAGUUAAAUUUAUAAGCUAUUUAAUUAGUAAAUAAAUGUAAUGGGCUAGCUAACGUUAGCUAAAAGACAACAAGCCUCGUUAAUAGCCAUGUUAAUAGCUAGCAGGGGAUUGUUAGCUAGAAGUUACCAAUUAUUUUUGUAUUAGGCCUAUUCUAAAUUAAGGUUAAACAUGAUGUAAGUUAGGCUAUAACAUAUCGUCUAGGUUUAACAAGCAAAGGUUGUACUGUACUUGGACUUGCGAUUGAUUACGGUAUGCCCAUUCUGCGAGGGAGAGUGAGGGCGGGGCACAGGGGAGGGGCCGUUGAUUUCGCGGCUUUACGGCUUUACUUCCUGCUCGCUACUGCGCAUAACUACUGCGCAGGACUGGUCCCAAGAUCGCUAUCUGCGCAGACGCAAGUCCAAGAUGUCCGCGCCGUAUCGGGACACUGGUGGCUUCAUUUUUCACCAAUGGAAAAGAGCGAAAGGGCGUCGUCCAUUUUAUAUACAGUCUAUGGUUUUAGCCAACCAUAGAACAGGAGAUGGGCUAAUGUCAUAGAGCCGCUAUAAAUCAGAAUGGAGCAAUUCGACAUCCAUCUUACCUGGGACCAGUUGAAAACAAUCUACAAUACAAACACAAGGUAGAAGUGGCAUUUCAGUUCUUAUAACAGUUACAUUUCCUUAAUAAUUUAUAAAUAGCCACUAGCAUAGCAUAAUGCAUAAAAUGAAUGUAGGCUACUUUUCUGAAUACAUUUGAAAUCGU